CAGAAGCUCCUGGAGGAGCGACUGAGAAGUGGCAGCUCCUGGCCAAGACGCGGCUGGAGGAGUUGCAGUGCUGGCACUUGGAGAUGAGGCACAAUGAUAUGCACUGUAGGCAGCUGGAGGAGGAGCCACAGCUCCAGGACCAGCAGCAGUAGCAGCAGCACGCAUUGCCUGGCUGGCCCCUGCUCAUGGGCAGGCCGGGAACGCCUGCCGCCCCACUCCCGCCCGGGCGGCAGCUGGAGUCCAGUGAGAUGACCCACACGUCACAGGUAGGCAUUCCACCGUCUACCCCACAGAGCAGGGGCUCCUGGCCAUCCAGAAGGCUGUGUCCCACACGGAGCAGACCUCAAGCUGGUAUCCGACAUGCUGGCCCAGGAGAACUGUGGAAGGCGGGAGGAGGACAGCAGUGAGCCCAGGGCAAAGUGGCACUAUUUACAUGACUGUAAAGUUGAUUUCCAGCCAGACUGGAGCUACAGACUUGCACAUACUAUCCAGACACCAGGAAACCAAGGAAGACAUCAAUAAAGCUAUGCUGACUCCACCCCU